UAAUAAGAAGCUAUUAGCAUUCAGUUUCGACCUGAAAGAAAGGUAAAUUACCCUUAUUAU
rnacentral:tRNA from 1 species